rnacentral:rRNA from 1 species
GACGUAGGGUGCGAGCGUUGUCCGGAUUUAUUGGGCGUAAAGAGCUCGUAGGCGGCUCGUCGCGUCGGCUGUGAAAACCCGCGGCUUAACUGUGGGCUUGCAGCUGAUACGGGCGGGCUAGAGUUCGGUAGGGGAGACUGGAAUUCCUGGUGUAGCGGUGAAAUGCGCAGAUAUCAGGAGGAACACCGGUGGCGAAGGCGGCAUCCUGGACCGACACUGACGCUGAGGAGCGAAAGCCAGGGGAGCAAACGGG